rnacentral:tRNA from 1 species
UCCCUGGUGGUCCAGUGGUUAAGACUCUGUGCUUCUACUGCAGGGGGUAUGGGUUCAAUUCCUGGUUGAGGAA